rnacentral:rRNA from 1 species
UAAGGAAUGCAUGCGAUUGGAAGUGCAUGUCCAAGCAAUGAGUCUUGAGUAGAGUUAAAUGCUUUACUCUUUAAGGACAAGUUGUGACGGGGAGCGAAAUAAUAGUAGCGAAGUUCCUGAUGUCACACUGCCAAGAAAAGCUUCUAGUGAGAAAACAACUGCCCGUACCGUAAACCGACACAGGUAGUCGAGGAGAGUAUCCUAAGGUGAGCGAGCGAACUCUCGUUAAGGAACUCGGCAAAAUGACCCCGUAACUUCGGGAGAAGGGGUGCUGACUUCGGUCAGCCGCAGUGAAUAGGCCCAAGCGACUGUUUAUCAAAAACACAGGUCUCUGCAAAAUCGUAAGAUGAAGUAUAGGGGCUGACGCCUGCCCGGUGCUGGAAGGUUAAGAGGAUGGGUUAGCUUCGGCGAAGCUCAGAAUUGAAGCCCCAGUAAACGGCGGCCGUAACUAUAACGGUCCUAAGGUAGCGAAAUUCCUUGUCGGGUAAGUUCCGACCCGCACGAAAGGCGUAACGAUUUGGGCA